UACGGAGGGUGCGAGCGUUGUUCGGAAUCACUGGGCGUAAAGCGCGUGUAGGCGGCCCACUAAGUCUGAUGUGAAAGCCCGAGGCUCACCCCCGGAAGUGCAUUGGAAACUGGUGGACUCGAGUCCCGGAGAGGAGAGUGGAAUUCCUGGUGUAGCGGUGAAAUGCGUAGAUAUCAGGAGGAACACCGGUGGCGAAGGCGGCUCUCUGGACGGUGACUGACGCUGAGACGCGAAAGCGUGGGGAGCAAACAGG
rnacentral:rRNA from 1 species